rnacentral:lncRNA from 1 species
GCGGGGGCCUGUCCCGUGAGCUCCCUCGGGACACACAUCAUGGGCUUCUGAAGAGGCUCCUUUGUUUUGGAGCUGGAGGCCAAGGAGGGGGAGCAGAGAGGGUGCGGAUCUUUGGUGUGACGGUGGCAGGGCCCCUGUCUACACCGGCUUCUGCUUCCCAGCCCUGCCCAAGACGUCUCACCGAGGGAGAGGAAGCAGCCCUCGCCUGCUCUGGCAUGGCCACUCGCUCCCUGCGACUCCCCCGUGGAUUUCUCUGGAACUGUGGCUGAGGGCUCUCAGGGGAACAGCCAGGUGACUCUCGGGUGUGGAUCGCUUCUCCGGAAGCCCCCUGGGGUUUGGGCCCGGAGAGGGCAGAACACACUGGGGCUCCCUGUGGCCCAGAGGCCGCCCCUGGGACCAGUUCUUUCUCCUCCGAAGCCGGGUCUGGAGGCCCUGCAGAGGCGGCCGUCGGGCACCAGAGGCUGCCGUGGGAGUUUGGACAAGGCCUGGAAGGAACCGGAAAGAGCCAGAAGGAAAGGCACCAGGUAGCUCUCAGGGCCGUCAGAGGCGGCUGUGGCUUUCAAACUUCUCCCCGGCCUGUUUUCCCCUCCCUGCCCUUCAGUGCCCCCUCAAGGCAUUUCUGAGGAACACAGGUCCCCAGAAAGCACGAUCUGAAACCUCGGACUCCAGGGUUUUCUGGAGCCAAAAUUUUUCUGUGACACGAACCCUUUUGAGAAUCUGAUGAAAGCUGUGGACGUCACGCUUGAAUUCUGUUUCCACUUCCCGGCUCCUACGAGCCCUUGAAAAAACGCAGCCAUUGACCCCCGGGUGGGAAGCUUUCUCUGGAGUCUGUCCCGAUGCUACAGUUUUGUAAAGAGCAUCCCCACAGCGGAGACAUGUCACCAUGGCAACUGCCCAGCACACACUCGGGGUUCCAAGUCAGUCCCCCGGGACUUCUGGUCCACAAUGUGUGCCCAGGGGUCUUCCAUCACCACCAUGAGGAGGGGAGGGCAUCCUCACUUGGCCAUAACUAGUCCAUGUUAAUCCUUGACCAACAAUCCCGAAGCUUGAUGCUUGACGACUCUAGCUCUUGUAUAUUUGCGUCACAUCAUGCAUUCCCCCAACAAAGGUGGGUACUGGAAUCUUGGACACUUUUCUGCCUCCUGUUCCAUGUCUCAUCUAAGCUCUGCAAAUGCCUGAGUCCAAAAUGUGCCACUUCUGGAACGGUACGUCAUAAGCGUCAGACUCUUUGGGUUGCCAGAGACCCAAAAAGCCAAAAGAAACUGCCUCAAGCAAAAAUGGGCAUUUACUGGUCCAUGUAAUUGGGAAGUCCAAGAGUGAUUCUGCCUUUCAGGUAUAGCUGGAUCCAGGUGCUCUCUCUCUGCGUUCUUCCCCACAUUGGCUUCACUCUCCUCUGUCCAAACCACAGGGAUGGAGAGUG